UAGAUUCUCAGCUGCGCAAGCCAUGAACCACAGGCAGGGUGUCUGUCAUCUUCUUCCACUAGGAUCUUCUAGAACAUUGUACAUGACAGAAGAAUAAUAUGGCUAUUUCUCCUCUGCAUGAGAGCUUUUGGAGAUAACAGAGAAGAAGCUUUUGGUUGAGCAUGCAGAGAAGAUGGAAGAAAGAAACAAAGAGAUUUCAARUGUGUCUCAGCACAGAAUCACUGUGAAAGGCACACUCUUGAUGUAAGAGUUGUGAAGUCAGCCAAAAUGACAUUCUUUAAAGCCAAAUGGAAAGAAAACGACUUUGAAGCACAGGAARACAUGAACAUUCAGUGCUUCCUUCCGCCCCUGUGGCUUUCAGUGAGGCACACCCAAUGAUUUCUAAGGCUUGCCAAAAUGCCUCAGGUCACAUGUGCUCAUGCUGUAGAUGUCCACAGGUGCUUUGCAAUGAAAGGAGGCGCUGAUAAUGCAUAACAUCAGGUAACACAAAGGAACCUGCCUCUCCCUGACAGGGGAGUAAGCCAACUCAUCUGGACCUGGAGACAGAACAGAAUAGCAGGACAGCAGAUGAGACAUGGGCCACACUGAAAUGCAGAGAAGAAAAUYUUCUCUGAACUUCAGCCAAGUGGUAUGAAGAUAUUUGUGUCUGAAUACCUGGAUGUACUGAUGGAAAAAGCCACAAAAUACUAAAGAGGUAAUUGCAUCCUUGGAAUAACUCCUAACACCUUAAUAAAGGAGCUGAGCUUUUAAAGAGGGUCCGUUCUCUCCAGAGUAUAAAACAGUAAUUUAGAGGUGGUUGUGUAACAACAUGAAAGAAUGCCAGACUACAGCAGUGAAGGAGAAAUGGAUGCAAGGUUUUGCUUUUAGUCUGUCCUUUAUUAACUAUUAAUAAAAACUUGAUAUUAUCCUUUGGUGUUUUUCAACAACCUUUUAAUAAUGUUUAUCUUGGGAGGUUUGUUUUAUCUUAGGAAAUGCAAAAUUUGUGUACACCAUCCCAUAAAUAUUUCCAGGAGAUGAACUCACAGUUUUGCUGUCUGGCAGGAAAGAAAUAGAUAGAAAACAAGUAGAAAACUGCAACAYUGAGUUGCUUGCAUCUAUGUAUUUAACACCCUUUCCAUUACCUUUGACUUGGAGUGUUGGAAUUUUUAUUUUUUUUUUCCAUUAUGAUCUCUAUUUCCGUGGGUUUGGAAUAAAAAUAUCUUCUCCUUGGUUCCAGAUUGAUACCAUUUGAUUGUGAGGCUUUCAAUCAAUUCUUUCAAGGCUGCUGGUGGUGGUGACUAACAGAUAAUUGAAAAGCAACCAGACUAACAAAGUUAGUGACAAGCAGAGAUCAUCAGGAGUCCCUGCAGGGACUGACAGAGCUUCUCCAUGUUAAAUAAGGUUGUAAA